ensembl:lncRNA
AGCCUUUAAUACUAAAAUGCAUUAAAUUUUGAAGCAGAGAAAACACAUUUAAGAGGGAAACAGAGAACCACCAGAUAAAAGGAAACAAUGUGGCAGGUAACACCAUUUAAAACAGAACUGUAAUAAUUUAAUAAAGCUGCUUUAUCAUCUUCAUAAAAUAGACAGAGUGGUGAUUCUUUUUUGUCUUUUUUGUUUUUACAAUGAUUCAAUCACUGUGAAAAUGUACAUAACAUACAGAUCAGCAUAUACAACCAUUUCAUCUUCAUAUAAUCAGCAACAAAGACUGCUUAAUGAGACGUACUGUACUUGCAUCCUUCUAAAUUGCCACCCUGGUUUGACAGGUAAACAGUAAUCGUGUCAUCAGGCUCAUUCCCCUCACUAGAGGAGUGAAGGCGUAAGCCUUUUGCAACUAAUACCUUAGCAUUCAAAUAGCACAAGGAGGUAUUUGUUGCUGAAUUUCUAGCUAGACCUAGUCUGGCUCUUGGUCAUUAGUCUGUAACUUAGCCUUCCUCAGCUGAAUGCCAGCCAGUGCCAGUAAACAUCUACUUAACCAGUGCUGUAAAGGUGUUAGCUGGUUUGUUUGCUAAGGUUGACAGCAACACUCAGUUAGUAACAAGGUCAUCUUUAAUUGCCAACACAGCUGGAGCAACAGUCAGCAUCAUCAGAUUUCCCUAAUGACCUACAAUGCUUUCCAAUCAAGGUCAGGUGUUUCUGGGUUGUUCUUCACCAAGAACGCCUUACAAUGUAUACUUCAGACAAGGUGGUUGAUUUUGUUUUACAAAAGCAAUGUGAUUCCUAUUUGAAAUUAAUUCACUUUUGCACAACAUGUGACCCACGGGCCAAUUCCAGCUUCACAAGAAAACAAAGAGAGCUGCAACAACUUCAUUAGGACAAUGUGUUUUGCUCUGGAAUAUUUCAUUAUCAAUAUAAAGCCACCCAGUCCCAGUCCCACCCCCAUACAUCCCCUUUGAAUAUUACUUUGAUACAUACUUAAACUAAAGAACAACAUCUCAAUACACUUUAGUGUCAGCAGAUACAAUUUGACUCAUGAAAUGAUAUCCUUAAAAUGUAAUUUUACCAAGAAGGCAAACACUAGGACUGUAUACAAUGGACUUCUUCAGCUCAUUUAUGCCAGUUUUUCAAAGUCUAAAGGGUCUUAUUACCCUGUGAAAAGAGCCAAGUGGACAGACUUGUCGAGAGUGCCUUGGGGAAACAUUUAGCAUCAAAAUGAUCCCCAUAAAAUGGAUUAUGUACAGUAAUAAUCCUUCCUCCACCUUGGAUGCCCAAAAAAGCUAUCCCUUCCAUCUCUGCCUCUCCCCAAACAGCCCCUUGUAUUUCUACUUCAAGUGGCCCACUUAUGUUUGCUUUUUAGUGGUAUGGUGGGUGUAGAGGGAAAUGUCAUCAGAAUUCCCCUCUAGUAGCCAUAUGCUGAAACAACAGGAUCUGGAAGGUACUCUGGAUGGUUUCAAGUUUCAAAGAUUAGAGUUACAUCUUUCAUAUUAUCACCAUGUCAACAAAUUUGUAAAAAUGGCAACCUUAGAUGCAGUUAGUCCUAUGAGGCAAGUUUCCUCUGGAGCAUUGUCCCAUCACUAUCUCCUAGGCAUCUGUAGAUAGGAAAAGAAAUCCUACCCAAAACAACUGAGUAACAAUCUCUAAGGAUUAGGCUCUACCAACCUGUGCUUUAUCAAGCCCUCAAACUUGAAUGGGCAACUGACUCAUGGAUUUCUGUGCCAAAUACUCCACAUUUCUUAUACAGCCAUUCUAGGCAGGGAUAGAGAAUUAUCAUUUCUAAGAAGUUCCUAAGUGAUGUUGCUUUGAGAAGGUACUUUGAGAACCACUGUUCUGCAGGAACUACUGGAUUCAAUAACCCACUAUCUAUUCAGUACCAAGACAGACCCUCACUUUUUCUACUGGUUUCAGAAGAUCAAUGAAAUACUAAGUUUCAUCCUGAACAGGUUAAUUUUCUAGUCUGCAUAGGAAAAAGAAAAGUUUCCACGGGGCAUUGUGGGUCAUCUCCCCAUUUCUUUUUGGAUAGCAUGUUCCUAUGCUUGGAAGAAAGCAGUCAAUCAAUGCAAACUAGAUUUCCUGUGCUGAAUAAAGAAGUUUACCUGGCCAGGAAAUUUUAAAGCAUGUCACACUUCAUUACCAAGGGACAUCAGAAAAGUGGAAUAGAACUCCCUAGGACUUGGGAACUAAAAUUAUUCCCACAUGUUUAAGUGUGUAACAUGUUUACAGAAAGGGAAAAUAUUUGCUCCACUGGCCUUGGUAGCUUUUCAUCACAUGUGCUAAAAAGGGAGAGGAAAAAUCCCGAGUCGAUGGGAAAGUUAAGAUCCUUGCACAAAAGUCCCAUUUGCAAGCACAGUCUGCCUGUAGAACCUGCCUACAAAGCCCUCCUAUGAUGCACUUGCACUUCCAUCAGACAACUGGAGGGGAAAGAUACUUCCUUAAUAAGAAUUCUCUGAAUAUACCCAAUAAAGUGUUUGAAAACAAAACAAAAAAAAAUAUCUGACUGCCCACUGAGAACAAUGAUUUUAGAUGGACUAGGCUUGGAACUAAAACUAAAUUCUGGGGACAAAAUUUAAGAAUUUUAGUUGCUUUUAAAAAUACAGUAAAAAGAAUUCAAUGCCACUGCUACUGUUUUCAGUUGGCUGGUAAGACAAAUGGCAGGCAGUGGCCUCUCUACAUUCCAACAUUCAUUUCCACUUUCCACAGUCUUUCAAACUCCGGAGUUGCCACUGGACGGAGUAAGAAAUCCACCUGUAGAAAGCCAUUCAAUCUGACUACAAAGUGACCUUGAGGUGCUAGCUAACGAGAUAUAUCAGCUGGAUCAUGGUAAGAUCAGUCUAAAUUCUACAGGCAGUCAUUCUAACAUAAACGGCACUUUCAAAAAGUUAAAUAUGUUAAUCAAAUAGUCUCUUGGAAGGAAAAUAAAUACCUAAUUCAUAAUAUACUAUACCAAAAUGAAACAAACCAGAAUAGGAGAUCAUAUGUAAGAGAAAAUUAAAUGAAGCAAGAAGAUGAAAAGGUCUCUAACUAUGUAGGUGUCAGGGCAAAAUUUGCAGCCAACCCAAUAUUUUGCAUGAGGUAGUAUUCAGCACUGAAUAGGAAAUAAGGAUGGAUUUGUAGCUUCAUUAUAGGUUUCUUUUUUUCCCCACAAAUCUCC